ACGGGAGGCAGCAGUGAGGAAUAUUGGUCAAUGGGCGGAAGCCUGAACCAGCCAUGCCGCGUGAAGGAAUAAGGCCCUAUGGGUCGUAAACUUCUUUUGAGCGGGAGCAAUAAGGCGUACGUGUACGCCGAUGAGAGUACCGUUCGAAUAAGCAUCGGCUAACUCCGUGCCAGCAGCCGCGGUAAUACGGAGGAUGCAAGCGUUAUCCGGAUUUAUUGGGUUUAAAGGGUGCGUAGGCGGACUGACAAGUCAGGGGUGAAAGCCCGGUGCUCAACACCGGAACUGCCCUUGAUACUGCCAGCCUUGAAUUCGGAUGCCGUGGGAGGAAUGAGUAGUGUAGCGGUGAAAUGCAUAGAUAUUACUCAGAACACCGAUUGCGAAGGCAUCUCACGAAUCCGACAUUGACGCUGAGGCACGAAAGCGUGGGGAUCAAACAGGAUUAGAUACCCUGGUA
rnacentral:rRNA from 1 species